GAUGAACGCUGGCGGCGUGCCUAAUACAUGCAAGUAGAACGCUGAAGGAAGGAGCUUGCUCUUUCCGGAUGAGUUGCGAACGGGUGAGUAACGCGUAGGUAACCUGCCUGGUAGCGGGGGAUAACUAUUGGAAACGAUAGCUAAUACCGCAUAACAGUAGAUGUUGCAUGACAUUUACUUGAAAGGUGCAAAUGCACCACUACCAGAUGGACCUGCGUUGUAUUAGCUAGUUGGUGAGGUAACGGCUCACCAAGGCGACGAUACAUAGCCGACCUGAGAGGGUGAUCGGCCACACUGGGACUGAGACACGGCCCAGACUCCUACGGGAGGCAGCAGUAGGGAAUCUUCGGCAAUGGACGGAAGUCUGACCGAGCAACGCCGCGUGAGUGAAGAAGGUUUUCGGAUCGUAAAGCUCUGUUGUAAGAGAAGAACGAGUGUGAGAGUGGAAAGUUCACACUGUGACGG
rnacentral:rRNA from 1 species